rnacentral:rRNA from 1 species
UACAGAGACUGCAAGCGUUAUUCGGAUUCACUGGGCGUAAAGGGUGCGCAGGCGGCCGUGUGUGUCAGGUGUGAAAGCCCGGAGCUUAACUCCGGAAUUGCGCCUGAAACUACAUGGCUAGAGCAUUGGAGAGGGUAGCGGAAUUCACGGUGUAGCAGUGAAAUGCGUAGAUAUCGUGAGGAACACCAGGAGGCGAAGGCGGCUACCUGGACAAUUGCUGACGCUCAGGCACGAAAGCGUGGGGAGCAAACAGG